UUACCAAAAAUGGCCCACUUGGAGCUCUUGAUUCCGUUGGGCGGCUCAACAAAGCAGCUGAGCCAUCCUACCUAUUUAAAGUUUGCGUUAGCCCGCUGUUUGGUACCGUAGUCCGGCUUCCGGUUCAUCCCGCAUCGCCAGUUCUGCUUACCAAAAAUGGCACACUUGGAGCUCUUGAUUCCGUGGCACGGCUCAACAAAGCAGCCGCGCCGUCCUACCUAUUUAAAGUUUGAGAAUAGGUCGAGGGCGUUGCGCCCCCGAUGCCUCUAAUCAUUGGCUUUACGCUGUUUGGUACCGUAGUCCGGCUUCCGGUUCAUCCCGCAUCGCCAGUUCUGCUUACCAAAAAUGGCACACUUGGAGCUCUUGAUUCCGUGGCACGGCUCAACAAAGCAGCCGCGCCGUCCUACCUAUUUAAUGUUUGAUAAUAGGUCGAGGGCGUUGCGCCCCCGAUGCCUCUAAUCAUUGGCCUUACCUGAUAGAACUCGCACGCGAGCUCCAGCUAUCCUGAGGGAAACUUCGGAGGGAACCAGCUACUAGACGGUUUGAUUAGUCUAUCGCCCCUAU
rnacentral:lncRNA from 1 species